GAUGAAGAACGUAGCGAAAUGCGAUACGUAAUGUGAAUUGCAGAAUUCAGUGAAUCAUCGAAUCUUUGAACGCAUAUUGCGCUCUCUGGUAUUCCGGAGAGCAUGCUUGUUUGAGUAUCAGUAAACACCUCAACUUCCAUAUCUUUUUUGAAAUGGGAGUUGGACUUGAGUGAUCCCAACGCUUUUCCUCACCGAAAAGUGGCGGGUUACUUGAAAUGCAGGUGCAGCUGGACUUUUCUCUGAGCUAUAAGCAUAUCUAUUUAGUCUGCCUAAAAACAGAUUAUUACCUUUGCUGCAGCUAACAUAAAGGAGAUUAGUUCUUGUGCUGACUGAUGCAGGAUUCACAAAGACAGGCUUCGGCCGACUUUGUAAACUCGAUCUCAAAUCAAGUAAGACUACCCGCUGAACUUAAGCAUAUCAAUAAGCGGAGG
rnacentral:misc_RNA from 1 species